UACGAACCGUCCAAGCGUUAUUCGGAUUCAUUGGGCUUAAAGGGUACGUAGGCGGCGCUAUCAGUCGGGUGUGAAAUCUCGGAGCUUAACUCCGAAACUGCAUUCGAUACUGCCGUGCUUGAGGACUGGAGAGGAGACUGGAAUUUACGGUGUAGCGGUGAAAUGCGUAGAUAUCGUAAGGAAGACCAGUGGCGAAGGCGGGUCUCUGGACAGUUCCUGACGCUGAGGCACGAAGGUCAGGGGAGCAAACGGG
rnacentral:rRNA from 1 species